AUGGCGUCUGGAUCCACUUUUUCCGGCGGCUCCGUUCCACUUGGGUCCUUGUCUGGAUCCACUUCUUCCGGCGACUCUAGCUCUCGGAGGGGGCUCAUCUCGUGCUUGCACAGCCUCAACUGCCGCCACGAGUAUGGGCCUCUUCCCCACGACGACGAUUUGCGCCAUGCCACGCGCAAGCUCAUCGUCGGUCUCUACGACGAGGCGUUCCGCCGGCUCCGGCUGCCCUGCAAGGCCAUGCCCGACCUUUACGGCCUCCUCAGCACAGACGGCCUCUGCCUCGGCCCCCUCGACCCCGUCUCCAACAUCAUCCUCAACACCCUCGCCCUCCUCCCCACCACCCUCGUCGAAGUCGAGGCCAAGACGGAGUCCGAUGAGGCGGAGUCCGACGAUGAGAGCAUGAGGUCCAAGAGAAAGAGACACAGACCCGGUUUCGACCCCUGGCACGAGGUUGCAUGCAGGUCCGCCCAGAGUCUCAUGGCUUUCCUUGUGGCAUACUUCGGAUGCAUCAACGAGGCACAGGCCUUCCGCUACCUCUACAGGGCCGGCGCCAAUCUCCUCCUCGCCGUCAUGCUCGUCCAGCACGACCUCUACCAUACCAAGGAGGAGGCACUGGACCCUGAAUCCGACAGGACCAAGGCCGCCCUUGAGUGGGCGGCCACCAACGCAGGCCACUGUUCGCCCGCCACCAUUGCUCAGGUCAUGGCAAUCCGGCUCAAACAGGGCGACCUCGACCUCUUCAACAGGCAUCUGUUUUCGGCCAAUGACCCUCUCACGGCUGAGGAUGCCCAGGAAAUCCACCGUGGGUUGCACAUGAUGAUGACCCCGAUGUGUGUUGCCAACAUUAGCAACACCAAAGAUGGGCUGGUUGUCCAUGCCCGUCACAACCUCGACGAUGGCGCUAUCUGAGAACACUUUCUCAUCGCCUCGUGUGGUGGCGACAACUGCGAUUACCUGCGGUCUCUCAAGAUGUACCUCUAUGGCAUGAUUCACAACCUGUACGUCCAGGCCUUCAAGAUGCUGCACGCACCCUCGGGCUCCAUCAUGCGCAGCAUCCUCAUGGCCGGCCAUUGCUAUGGCCCCUGUGACCCUCUCUCCAACAUCAUCAUUAACUCAGUCUGGCAUGAGACGUGUGGCUCCGUUCUCCCGGCUUCUGACCGCAUGAUGUUGAAAGAGUACAAUGACAUCCUGGACCCCCUAUCUCUGCUCCGCCUAGUUGUCCGUUCCCUCGAGGGGCUUGCAAACCUUGCUUUGUUCGCCGACCCCCAAUCCUCAAUUGCUUGUGCUCUAGAGAAACUCUGUAGUGCAAAAUGCAACCUUGUUGACAUGUUAUCAUCUACAACAAAGAGGUCUGAUAAGAACCCCUUCCACGAGGCGGCCAUGGCUGCUAGACAGACGCUGCCCCUUCAGCUAGGUGAAUUUCACCGGAUGCUGCUGCUCGAUCCCGAAGGCCGAAAACGCCUGGUCUCACAUAUAACCAAUGCGCAAACUAGUGGUGGUGUGUUGUGCGUCGAUGACAUCAGAUUUCUUAUGUCGGCCUUGUGGUCCAAGUUCAAAGAAACAUCCAGACCUCAAACUAGUGGCACCAUGCAAGCUCCUGCUCCUGAACUUAGUGUAGAGGCCUUGAGGCGGGUAUCAAGCGUGAGAUCACAGUAUGAGCAUUGGAGGAGCUGGCUGCGUUCAAAGAUUGAACAGGUGCUCAAGGAUUAUACGGACCAUCAUUUUUGGGGACCAAAGUAUGAACUUGAUUUUAUAAUUGGUAUGGAUCAAAGACAGGAAGGCUGCGCCCCCUUCACUGAUACGUGCUACCUAGUGAACUUCAUGGCAACUUGUGAUGAGAAUGUUCUGAGGACCCUAUUUUACGCCGAGUUGUGGUACGCAACACGCAAGCCAAGGACAGCGGCAUUCUGCUGCCCUCUGCCCUAUGCAUAUGCGGGACGUUGCUACUAUGACAUGAUUUCCGCAAGGAAGAUUGUGUAUCCAGAUGACGCCAAGUACAUCAGUGACGACGAUAUCACCCAUAAGGGAACCCGCAGCGUGGAUGACAUGCUAGAGAUGGACCUCGUGCACUUCAGUUCCGAGUUGGACGUGGAGCUCGCGCGGAAUUUGAACAUGUCGGAUUCACAGGAUGAGCCGAAUGAGCCCAGUUCAGAUUCAUGGGCGCCGGAUGAGAGCAGUCCAGAUUCAGAUUCAGAGGAUGAGUCUGUGUCUCUGGAUGAGUGA
rnacentral:rRNA from 1 species